AGUGAACGCUGGCGGUAGGCCUAACACACGCAAGUCGAACGGCAGCACAGUAAGAGCUUGCUCUUACGGGUGGCGAGUGGCGGACGGGUGAGGAAUACAUCGGAAUCUACUUUUUCGUGGGGGAUAACGUAGGGAAACUUACGCUAAUACCGCAUACGACCUACGGGUGAAAGCAGGGGAUCUUCGGGCCUUGCGCGAUUGAAUGAGCCGAUGUCGGAUUAGCUAGUUGGCGGGGUAAAGGCCCACCAAGGCGACGAUCCGUAGCUGGUCUGAGAGGAUGAUCAGCCACACUGGAACUGAGACACGGUCCAGACUCCUACGGGAGGCAGCAGUGGGGAAUAUUGGACAAUGGGCGCAAGCCUGAUCCAGCCAUACCGCGUGGGUGAAGAAGGCCUUCGGGUUGUAAAGCCCUUUUGUUGGGAAAGAAAAGCAGCAGGUUAAUACCCCGCUGUUCUGACGGUACCCAAAGAAUAAGCACCGGCUAACUUCGUG
rnacentral:rRNA from 1 species